rnacentral:tRNA from 1 species
GGGCGCAUAGCUCAGUUGGUCAGAGCCACCGGCUCAUAACCGGUCGGUCGUAGGUUCGAAUCCUACUGCGCCCA